AAUGUUAUAUAAAUGUGGCCAAAUUUCAAUUCAGCGGGAGUCAUGGAUCCUGGAUUUUAGAUGCAUUCUGUAAACUAGCUCAUUUGAGGCACCUUGAUUCAAAAUGUUUUGCCGUACAAUGCAUUGUUUUGUCAAUUAAAGAUUACAGAUGAAAGUUUUAGUAUAUAGAUAACAGCAAGCUAUUGUGAUAGCUGCUUAGCAAUUGAACACAUUCACAGAGGAAAAGUCAGUUUGCAGUUGUUAAUUGUAACAUGAAACUCCAGGUAUAGAGAGGGCAUAUGUCAUCACUGAAUAACAGCUGCUGUGGUAUCACAGGUGGGAAAAGCUAUUGUCUUCACACCAUUGAUGGACUUCUUGAUGCCCUGGUUCAGAUGAAAAGCUUAGAGAUAUAGCAUAUUUGAGAGCCAGUUUUGUCUAAUGGUUUAAGGCACCAGGCUAGAAACAAGAGACAGUGAGUUCAAGUCCCGCCUUAGCUAUGAAAGCCAACUGAGGUGACUUUGAGCCAACCUAUCUCUCUCAGCCCAACUCACCUCACAGGGUUGUUGUGGAGAAAUUAAGAAGAAGAAGGUUUGUUGGUUCACUGCCUUGAAUUACUUAUGAAAACGAUAAAGGCGGGAUGUAAGCAAAUGAAUAAAUAUUAGACUAGAAGAUAGGCUCCUGCAUUCUUUCUUUGGUGGUAUGUUGCUAAGCACAGGAACUGCUUUCUAAUAAACUUUUCUGUAAGAAGAAGAAAAUCAACAUUAUACAGGAAAAGGCAAGGGGAAAGUAUGGUAUUAAUAAGUAUGCUUCAAAUAAGCAAAUGGCCAUUUGUUUUCUCCAUCAAUAGGAAAACUGUAUGGCGAUGGUGAUUACUUGGAAGAAAGGCACAGGCACAGAUUUGAGGUAAACCCAGAGCUGAAAAACUCAUUUGAGGAGAAAGGUAUGAAGUUUGUGGGCCAGGAUGUGGAAGGAGAGCGAAUGGAAGUGGUUGAGUUGGAAGGUGAGCACUGAUCUGUCACAAGAAGGUUGCUAUGGUUAAUUGAGGAAAAGUUUUAGGGGUUUCUCUUGAGAUUUGUGGAAGUGAUCUUUCCUUAGAU